GGAUCAUUGGAAUUCUUACAUCACUGAGGAAGAUUUCAAUUUCAUGUCUGCAAAUGGACUGAGUGCCGUGAGGAUACCUGUAGGGUGGUGGAUAGCGCAGGAUCCAACUCCCCCUAAGCCUUUUGUUGGAGGCUCUUCAAUAGCCCUCGACAAUGCUUUCACAUGGGCAGAGUAAGUAAAGGAAAUCUUCUAGGAUAAAGACAAAACAAGACUUAAGGCCUGCAGUUCUUAAAAAAUAUAUUUAUAGGUACAAAAGCACUUUUGGAAUAAAAACUGUGCUAAACAAAUUACUUUUAGUUGAAAUUUUUAGCUUUUCUAAAAAGCAUUUCUAUAAAGAAGAAGCUCAAAUUUUUAGCUUUUCCUUUCCCAAAAGUAUUUUUAGUGCUUAAUUAUUUUUUCACCCCUCUAAUAACAUAAUACUUUCUCUUUUUUUUUGGUGCUUAAUUACAUUUUAAAAUCAUUAAUUAAAAAUAAAAAUAUAUUUUUUAAAAUACUAAUUACAAAUAUUUAAUGGUUAUAUUUAAAUAUUUAAAAUAUAAUUUACAUAUUCUAAUUAAAUUUUAUAAAUAAAUUAAUAUUUAUUACUUAAAAUUAUUUAAAAUUUAUAUUUCAUAUAUUAAAAUAUUAACAACAAGUUAUAAUAAUUUUUUUUAUUUUUACUAAUAUAUAAUAAUAUUAACUAAUUUAAAUAUUAUUUAAAUGCAUAUUUGUUACUUGUUUAAAAUGAAGAUUUUAUUUCUCAAAAGCACUUUUUGUCAGCAAUACUAAAUACUCAAAUUUUAAACCAAACUUUUCAAAAGCAUUUUUACACAGCACUUUUCAAAAGUAUUGUCGAACAAGCCUUUAUUUAAUUGCAAGUUCUAAACAAUUUUCUGGUUCAUGUGUGAAAUUGAUGCAGGAAAUAUGGGAUGAAGGUAAUUAUUGAUUUGCACGCAGCUAAAGCCUCACAGAACGGUGACGAACACAGCGGAGCAAGAGAUGGUUUUCUAGAAUGGGCCGAUUCCAACAUUGACGAGACUGUGGCGGUAAUAGAGUUUCUUGCAGCAAGGUUAAAGAUGACACUAACCAUUUCUAUGUCAUGCCAUGUUCUAUUAUAUACUUUUCCUUCUUUCAAUUGAAUUUAAAGGUUCAAUAUAAUUGUUGGACAGAUAUGGUGUAAGACCAAAUUUGGCUGCGAUUGCAUUAAUGAAUGAGCCUAGAGCACCGGGUGUAACAUUAGAUGCACUUACAAAGUAUUACAAAGCUGCAUACGAUGCAAUAAGGAAGUACACAAAUGCGUAUGUGAUCCUAUCAGCUCGUUUAGGACCAGCUGAUCCAAAGGAGCUCUUCUCAUUGGCCAGUACUAUGAAUCGAGUAGCCAUCGAUGUGCAUUACUACAACCUCUUUUCAGACUCAUUUUCCGGCACUGUCCAACAAAACAUCGAUUUUGUCAACAAUCAACGAGCCUCCGAUCUUGGCAGCUUGACCUCGGCUAACGGUCCCCUGGUUUUAGUUGGUAAUUUAAGUUUUGGAACAGGUUUAGUUUUAGCUAUAUGCAAAUGUAGUAGGAAUGAAUUUCAAAGUGGUGUUUUUUUUGCAGGGGAAUGGACUGCAGAAUUUGCUCGAAACGAUGCAUCAAUGGAAGAUUACCAGAGAUUUGCUAAAGCACAGCUAGAUGUUUAUGGUCGUGCAACAUUUGGAUGGGCAUAUUGGGCUUAUAAUUGUGACAGAAACCAUUGGAGUCUGAAGUGGAUGAUUGAGAACAAUUUUAUUCAGCUUAAGUGACCAACUAUUUGAUUAUCAAGCUUUAAAAUUACAAUAAAUGAGGUUGGCAUUUAGUUCUCCUGUUAAAAAAGUUGAUGCAGGGGAAACCAAGAAACUCCUUUUUUUUUUCUUAAAUGAUAAUAGUAAAUUUAAAUCUAAAGUUUAGCUCAUUUAUAUUUAUAUAAAUUUAAAUUAAGGUAUCCUUAGAUAAAUUUAAAAAAUAUCGUAUUUUUCAUUUUCAAUUAUUUAUCUCUUUAAAGAAUACGUAUAAUAAGAAAAUAAAUAAUUGUUGUGGAUCAAAAAAUUAAAUUAAAUAUUGAAUGUACUAUUAACUCAACCAUAAAAUUUUUUAAUGUCAAAGUCCUGCACAAUUUUGCACCAUUUUCUUCUUCAAGAGAUAUACUUUCAUUUUUAAUUUUUUGUAAUUAUUAUUCUUUCGUCAAAUUUUCUUAUUGAUGUAGUUUUCCUCCAAACUGUCAUACUUGAAAUAGGAGUUUUAAAAUACAAAAUGUUUAGCUAUUUUUCAAUAACAAAUAAAAUAUUAUUUUCUUGAUGAUGAGAUUACAUUAAGUUUUUAAGAAAAUUAUAUGCUAUUAUUUUUAUUUGAUAUUUAAAGAAAAAUUUAAUGAAUUUUUACUGGGUUUAUAACAAAAAUAUAUAAGUAAUAUAUAUUAUAUAACAAAGUAAUACCUUUGUUAGUAAUUUGAUACAUUUGUAGAGAAAAAAAUUUGUUAGGAUUCAAAUACUACCACAUGUCUUAUUUUAUUAUUAAAUCUUUGGGUUCAUCUUGUGAACCAUCAUAUCACUUUGCACCUACUUCAUAUGUCCACCUCGUAAACUAUCACUCCGUCACUUCAUAGCAUGUAUUUCACUGUCUUAUGAAAAUGUCCUCACCGUUAAGGUCUUGCUCACUAUUCUAUGAGAUGCAACCAUCUAGUCAUUUCUCCAUCACCACCUCGUAAGCUCACAAAUCAUUUAUCACUAGCACCAUGUGAGGUGUGAUCAUCUCACCACCUCACCAAGUACAUACAAAGGAGAUCAUGUGUGAGCAUUUUACAUAUUACCGAUAUCUUGUGAGGUGGGAUCACCUCACCUCCUCGUGAGUCUGCCUUGCCAAAUAAGUAUAGGAGAGAUCACGUGUCAGCACCACACGUACCACCAAUACCUCGCGAGGUAGUCCAUAUGCGAGUUGACCCCAUCAAGCCUCACCACCUUGGAUGGUGGAGCAUGGGCACUGUUCACUCCUUAUGAUGACACCUUCCUACCAAAUAGACAUGUCUAAGGGUAUGUGUCCAACCUAAACGGGAGAAUGUGUCAUUUGCAUGGCAUCUAAUUAGCUCCUAGCACGUCAUAUCAGGGAACCAUACCUUAUAAAUAUGAAAGAAUUUCUCCCAAGAGAGGGGGACGGGGAGAACACCUCAACAGACUUCAAGCCAACUCAAAGUACCCCGACAAUUUUUUUAAUAAGUAAAUUUCAUUUCAUCUUAUAAAGCAAAGCUUUGCUAAAAAAAACGAACUCACAAAGUAACCUAACAUUGUUUAAUAAGAAAACUAAAAAAGAAAUGUGUUGAAAUGGCUCUGGGUAAGAACAGGGAUGGAGAUAAGGGGGGCUAUUUUACCCAAAUGAUUCAAAAAAUAAUUAUUUAGUAAAUGAUCCUAGUUAAAAAACAAUCAUCUAAAUGACCUGAAAUGAAUAAUAAAAUUGGGUUAUGGGGACUAGAUGGUCGACACCGCUAUUUUUUUGUUAAAAAAUAAUUUUUGGGGUUUUGGACACUAGAUGACCGACACCCAUGUAUUUUUUUCAAACUGUAUCAUACUAUAUAUUUAUACUAUAUUUUUUAAAAAAAUUGGGGUGUUGGCACACUAAUGGCCAGCACCCCUUUAUCUGAUUAAAAAGAUACUACUAAUCAUGUUGUUAAUUACUAUUGCAUCAUUCACAUUAUUAUUAAAUUUAAUAAUUAAUUUAAAUUUAAUAUGCAAAAUUAAAUUAGAUUUUUUUCCCUAAAAUUAAAAUAUGGGUUAAUGAUUUUCAUCUUUUAUAAUAAUUCAAAUAAAUAUUGUUAAAUUAUUGUUUCUUUUAUUUUACAAAUUAGCGUGUAAUGUAUUUAUAAAUUUAGAAACAACGUGUAAUAUAUUUGUAAAAGAAACUUACCUUAGGUUAAAUUAAUUUAUAACAAAAUAAUUUGAAAAUAUUUACAUUAUCUUUAUAUUUUAAAGUUUAAUUUAUAAAUAAAUUUAUCUUGUAUAUUUCUAAACAAAAUAAAUUAUAAUGUAUAAUUUAAAGUUACAAAAUCAUAAUCUAUAAGGUAAGUUUUAUCAACAAUUUGUGCUCACUUAUCACAACAAUAUACUCUUUAUAACUUUAAUCAUGUGUAAUUUUCCAUAGCAAUUUAAUUCAAAUUUAAAUUUAAAUGAGUGAUAAUAUCGACAAAUAUUAGGAGAAGUGAAAAUAGUUUUAUAUGACUUAUGAUGAUGGUGUAAGUUCAAUAAUCAUGAAAAUAGUGUUGAGUAUGUAUUUACUAAAUCAUCCUUCAACUAUUAAAAUCUUUUUUAGAAAAAUACAAAUUUAUGUUAAGUCUAAAACCGUGAAUGACAUGAAUUUUUUAAUCACUGAAAAUUUUCAAAUAAUUUCCAAUCCAAAACUUAUUUCAACCAUCUUCAACCUCGCAUCCCCGCCAUUAUCAGCAAUACCUGUGAUCUUUACCACCUGAAGAGAGGGAGGUGAACCUGAAGCAUCAACAAGGUGACUAUAAUGUUGUUGUGUAGAUUUGGCUGGACCUUUGAGCAGCGUAUCAAGCCAACUUCCAACUGAUUUAAAAGGGGCCAUUUUUAAGCUGGAGAAGGAGUGAUGCCUCAAAGACUUGCCAGAAUAAAGUGACGACAAUCAUCGCCGAAAGAAGGCAAUGGGUUAUAGUAUUCUGCUUCUUUAUUGCUUUAAGCUCUUUCACCAACUCUUCAACAAGAAUUCCCCCAGACCCACUUCCAUUUUCACUUUUUGUAUUUGCUUUAUCAGCAUCAUUAUCAUCAUCCUUUUGAAAGUUUAACUCCUAAACUUCAGAUUGCUUCAGUGUGUUAUCUUCUUUUAAAGAUUCUAACUGUCCAAUAACAGUAAGACAGCAUUUUUUUUUCUGAUGGUGUUUAAAUCAGUUCUUCAAGAUGAAGAAAAACCCAUUUUGUUUGGAGGGAAUUAGAACUAUGGGGUUGAUGAUUCCAAGGGCAUCUUAAAUGGGGAUUUUGAAAAUUAGGUCUGGUUAGUUCAUAUGGAGUUGCUAUGAAUGGCUUGUUUGGUUUUAGAUUAAGAUUUGGAUUUUGUUAUGUAUUGUACAUACCUGAGAGAACAAUGUGGCGAGGAGGUGAUCAUCAUCGUUUCUUUUGUUCUGUUAUCUUGAGUUGAUUUCAGGAUUGCCUGACUGAUAAGCUCAAUAUCUUGAGUUGAUUUCGAUAUUGGGCAUGGAGGGUAGUACAUAUAUCUUCUCCACGCGUUAUUGGAAUGUGGGAUUGGGAAGCCUUCGACGGUAAAAAUCAUAGGUAUUGUUGACGAUGGCGGGGAUGUGAGGUUGAAGAUGGUUGAAAUAAGUUUUGGAUUUAGAAGUAUAGUAUUUUUAAUUAUAAACUGACAUGGAAAUUAUUUGAAAAUUUUUAAUGAUUAAAAAAUAUAAAUUGAGCGACGAUUUCGUAAAUUUUUUAAUAGUUAAAAUGAUUAUUUAUGUAAUUUACAUUUAUUUAAAUUUUAACAUGGAAAUUUUGAGUUUCUCCUAUUGGUGGAGAUCCAAGAAUAUAAAAUAUAUAUAAAAAAAAAGUAAUUAAAAGCAUACCGAAACAAACUUUCAAAACCCUUAAAUUAAUCUUCAAUUUGUUUCAAAAUUUAAAAAAAAACAUUUUUUUAUUAGAAACAAUUUAAAAAAUCAAUAAAAAGGAUUUAAUUCGCUUUCGACAGAAAUAAAGGACUACAGCUGUUUGUAGAGAGUCCGCUGAAUAUUACUAGUUAAUAGUGUUUAAUUCAUUUGUUUGUUUUACAUCAAAAAAAAUCAUAAGGUUUAAAAGUAAAAAAAAUACAAAUCACUAGAAUUAAGUUCUCUCUUACCUUGUGGGCCAAAAUUUAUUGCUUAAUAUUUCCAUAUGAUACAGUCCAAUCUAAACCAUAAAAUUAGCUUUUAAGUCAAUAGGAUAUAGAUUUGAUUUUAGUCAACAAUGUUAAAUGGAACAGUUAUGAGAAUUUAAGAAUUUGGUUGAAAAUCUUUAAGAAUUGAUUGAGAAUCUCAAUCAAUAAUGUUAAAUGGAUCAUUUUUAAGAAUUUAGGGGUUGAAAAUCUGUAAGAUUUGAUUGCAAAUUUUAAUCAACAAUGUUAAAUGGAGCACUUUUGAGGAUUUAGGGAUUUGGUUGAAAAUCUUUAAAAUUUGAUUGAGAAUCUUAAUCAACAAUGUUAAAUGGAGCACUUUUGAGUUUGGUCAAAAUCUUUCAGAUUUAAUUGAAAAUUUUUAUGAACAAUGUUAAUGGAGCACUUUUUAGAAUUUAAAAUCUUUAAAAUGAUUGAGAAUCUUAAGUAGAUAACUUUUAGUUUGUAUCUUUAUAUAUAGUGGAGCAAUAUCAGCUUAAUUCUUUUAUAUGAUAUAAUUUAAAAAUUAAUAUUUUUCAUGAUAAUAAUUUGUCAUGUGUAAUUCUUGAUUAUAUUGAAAAAAAAUUAUUCAAUGCAAAUUUCUUCUAAAAAUAUAGUGACAAAUUUGGAAUUAAAAAAAAAUCAUAUAUUUUAUUAAUAUCUCCAAUAUUCCUAUUGUAUAAUAAAAAGUAUUAGACUAAUAAAAAAUUUUUGGUUGAAAAUCAAUAAUGUUAAAUGGAGCACUUUUGAGAAUUUAGGGAUUUGGUUGAAAUCUUUCAGAUUUAAUUGAAAAUUUUAACCAACAAUGUUAAUGGAGCACUUUUUAGAAUUUAUUGAAAAUCUUUAAGAUUUGAUUGAGAAUCUUAAGUAGAUAAUUUUAGUUUGUAUCUUUAUAUAUAUAGUGUAGCAAUAUCAGCUUAAAUUUUUUUAUAUGAUAUAAUUUAAAAAUUGAUAUUUUUCAUGAUAAUAAAUUGUGAUGUGUAAUUCUUGAUUAUAUUGAAAAAAAAUUAUUCAAUGCAAAUUUCUUAUAAAAAUAUAGUGACAAAUUUGGAAUAAAAAAUUCUAUAUAUUUGAUUAAUAUCUCCAAUAUUCCUAUUGUAUAAUCAAAAGUAUUAGACUGUAUUUAGUAAUCAAAUUUACUACAAUAAUAAAAAAUUUUCAAAUUUCAAAUUUAAUUUUUUUUAAAAUAUAAAAUCUAAAAUGGAAACUAUAUAAUUUUAAUAAUUAUAAUAAUACAAGAUAACAUAAUAUUGUUCGAUAUAUUUAUUUAUUAGUUAAUUUUAAAAAUAUUUAUAUUUAUUAUUCACAAUACAUAUUUAUAAAUAGCAUGAUAUAAUAAGUUUUUAUUAAAAACCUUUUAAGUGGUAGAAAAACUUUAGAUAGAAGAUAGUAUAAACUGAAAACUUAAAUUAAUUACUAAUUGUUUGAAAUUGUAGAAUAUCAAUAUGAACAUUCAAGGCAAACGUGGAAGGGGUAGACCUUAUAGAGUUGUACCCAUGGAACAACCCAUAGUUUAGGGGGAAAACCCAACCUAGGAAUAUAUGAAAAACUUUACCCCCAAUGAUGGCGGAGGCCAUAAGAAUUGAGAUAUGGGAAUGAGAAAUUAGAACGAUGGAACCGUGCGAGACAAUGUUGUGACUCAAUCCAUGUUGAGAGCACUCCAAAGAGUCGCUGGAUUGGGUAAUGGAAAUGAAAACGAAAAGACGAUGGCCGAAAAGCUCAAAUCAAAUAGGGUCGAACUGUUCAAAGGAGUUGCUGGUACAACUCCUACCAUAGCCGAAUAUUGGAUGGAAACGACGGAAAGAAUUCUAGAGGAUCUUAAGUGUAUUUCUGAGCAAAAAUUAAAAAGAGUCGUGUCCCUGUUAAGGGACGAGAUUUAUAGGUGGUAGCAAGCAAUUGUUAAGGGAACACUUACGGAACGAAUAAAUUGGAAUUAUUUCCAAGAUGCUUUGAAGAAAAAGUAUGUGGGUCCCCUUUACAUGAAAACUUGCAUGCCCAAAUUCAUCGGACUUAAAUAGGGAGAUAUAUUGGUUUCGGAGUAUGAGGCGGAAUUUUUAGAUUAAGUCGCUACACACCCAAAUUAGUAGCAAAAGAGGAAGACAAGAGUGUGAGGUUUGAAGAAGGGCUAAGAUAUGACCUAAAAGUACAGGUGGCACUCCUCCAGGAAAUGAAUUUCGAAAAUUUGGUUGAAAAGACCAAAAUCUUAGAAGAAAUUAAGUGCACGGAACGAGAAAAUAGACAAAAAGUUCCAAAUAAAAGUGAUUCGAGUUCAAAUGAUUCAAACCACAUACCUAUAAAAAGGGCUAGGCCACAACCCGAAUCCAAUGACGAACGUGCUCCAAAGUGCUAAUAUUGUGAGAAACACCACAAAGGUGAAUGUUGGAGAAAGAUCGGUACUUGUUUUAAGUAUAGAUCAAAGGAACAUCAAAUAAAGGAUAGUUAUCAUUGGAAUAAUUCUAUUCAAUCAUAAAAUCAAGGCCAAAACCAAACCCAAACACAAGAAAACUGUGGUCCCAACUGAAACGACGAAAAUCGAGGCCAGAGAACGCUAGCACAAAGUGCGAACCGUGUAAAAGUGAGACAACCAGCUUUAGUUUAUACGACAAGAGGACGGGAGAAUAAGGAUGCCGUAAAUGACAUCACAAGUUCUUAAAAAUCUCACCUUAAAAAAUUUCAAAGUGGCUUAGCAGAAGCGGAUCGACCCAGUAUCUUAUCAACUUGAACUACCUCCUGAGCUAGAUUGAAUCCACAAUGUGAUCCACGUAUCUAUAUUACGACACUAUCAUUCUAGCCCUUCUCAUAUCGUUCUUGCUGAAGAGAUCGAGCUCUAGCCAAACUUUUCAGAAUAAGGUAAGUUAAAAUUCGAGGAUAAAUUUUCUUAAGGGAGGGAGAUUUGUCACAUCCCAAAAAAUAGGGAUAAAAUUUAGAUUUUAUUUUUUCAAGCAAAUGGUAAGAAAAUUUAGUAUACCUUAAAAAUUGUUUUAGUUAAAAGCUGUCAAGAAUGAGCUUCUUGAUUCAGUGGUAAGACUUAAACUUACCCAUAGAUCCCAAGUUUGAAACCCCUUGUGUACAUUCAACCAAAAUAUUUUAUUUUGACCCCAUAAAAGUGUUGAAUUUGCAAAAUAGCCUAGCCGAAUUUUUUUUUCAAUAGAGCUCUAAUUUCACAUGAAUUCCCAAAAACCUAUUUCAAUUAGGGAAAAGAGUUUAUAAAUAGCCAACCCUUUUCAAACCCUAUAAUUGAUAUCUAGAGAAUUUUUCAAGAAAACUCCCGAAGUUCCUUAUUUGCAAAAACAAUUUUCCAUUGAGGAAUUCAAAGUUUUCAAAAUUAUCCCUCUCCUCCCGAGUAGAUCAUCAAUCUCCUCAUCCGAUUAAGGUUUUUGUGCCUUCAAAUCAGGUGUGGGAUCUAUGCUUAAAAUCAUUGUGUAUAGUUAAUUGAUGUACUAGAAAGUAAGAAAUCAAUAUAAGUGAAUCCUAUAAGAAUUGUUAUACGAACCUAUAGGAAAUAACAUAUGAACCCUAUAAGAAUUGUAAUGCAAACCCCAUAGAAAUGUUAUACGGACCCUUAGAAAAUUACAUGUGAACCCUUAAGUUGAUGCUAGGAGAACCUAUGUAUAUAACCCAUGUAUAUGAACCUAUAUGUGAACCCUGGAUACUAUGCAAGUUCAACAGGAUAUGUGAACCCUAGGCACAUGCAAGCUACAUAGGACAAGCGAACCCUGUAUAGUAUACGAACUAUACAUGUUUAGUUAUGUGAAACAUGCUUGUUUAUUAUGCGAACCCUAUUAAACAUGUGAAUCCUCACGUACGUAAUUGUAUGAGAAUUGUAUGUGUGAGCCUGUGUGUAAAACCUAUGUAUGAACCCCUGUGUGCGAGCCCCCGUGUGUGAACCUGUAACACCCUUAACCUGUAUCUGUCGCCAGACUAGGGUUAAGAGGCAUUACCAAACAAUUCACAUCAUUAUACAAACAUUUCAUAUACAUUGAUCAUGUAUCAUCAUAUCACAUUCAUUCAUAAUCACAUUGUCCCUUAAAUAGGUCUACGAAAUCUAAAACAUGCUUUUAAGAAGGUUCGAGAAUAAACUGGUUACACAUAAAAUUUUUUGAAACUUUAAGAAUUUUCUAAGUAACAGACAUCUCACGCCUAUGUGAACAGUCGCGUGGACGAAUAUAGGCCAUUUGCAAGGCCAAUUCGCCAACCAUAAGGGUCAACUCUACACAAGCACAUAAUAUACCAUUAUUCAUCAAUUGUGAAUAUCAAUUUUGAACACUUCCACUAAUGCAUCAAUAACUUUACUAAAGCUUACCACAUAACCACAAUCACAUUCCAAUUAUAAGGCCAUCUACAUAUCAAACCUCACAUUAUAAACAAGUAAAAUCUCAUGGCUCAAUACAUUUCAAACAUAUAGGCACCAAUAGCCAAAAUCACUUAUACACUUAACAAACCAACUAGCCUAUACAUACCACAGAACCAAAAUUUCCAACCUUUUAAGUACCGAAACCAUAACUGGAUAGUUUGAUGGGAUCUCCGAUGAUUUCCAACCCGAGCGAGCCUUCGGAACACUAUAAACAUAGAAAAAAUAAAACAAAGUAAGCUAUAAAGCUUAGUAAGUUGAUAUGUAAAUAAUAAGCAAUCUGUUAACCUGCUUUUACCAAUCCUCACAACAUGUUCUCAAGAUAAUACAAUAAAAAUUGCACAUAGUUCCACUAUUUACUCAUGUUCACAUCAAGCUAUCUGCUAGAGUCAUAGUCACUAAAUUAUUUAUAUCUUGCGCUACAGAACUUCAAAUUAAGAUCCGCUUGAUUUUACCGAAACUAGACUCACAUAUCUUCUUACCAUAAAAUUUUCAGAAUUUUUGGUUUAGUAAAUAAGUAUAGUUAAUUCUUCAAAGUCGUCCAUGUUCUGUUGUCUAACAAUUCUGAUCCUUCUUCUCUAAAAAUUAAUUAUCUCUUAGUACGAGAUUCAGAUGAUAUUUCUAUUUGUUUUUCUUGAAAAUAGACUCAUUAUAAUUUUAAUCAUAUAAAUUCUAACCCAUAAUUCUUUUUAUACAAUUUUUAAUUAUUUUCCAAAUUCAAAAUAGGGGAUUCCGAAAUCAUUCUGAACUUAUCUCUCAAAAAUUCAAAUAUCUCAUAAUACGAGAUUCUUUUGCUUACACUAUUUCUUCUAUGUGAAACUAGACUCAAUAAGAUUUAAUUUCAUGUCUUAUUCAACCUUUAAUACGAUUCCCACAAUUUUUAGUGAAUUUUCAAAGUUAUACAACUGCUGCUGUCCAAAACUGUUUUAUUGCAGAUUUUACUCUUUCAUACAUUUCAUAAAAUUUCAUUUCCAGUUCCAUACGUCCUCAUAACACAUAUCAUAUUUCAUCUAUACAAUUCACAUAGAUCAUAUUUCAUUUCAUUCUCAAUCAUAUAAUCAUUUACAUAGCUAACAUUAGCUUUCACAAGUUUAAUCAAUUUAAUUCUUAUAUAACAUUCAAUUCAUACUUCCGUAUAGCCAAAUGAGCACAUUUUGGUAUAAAACAUAUUUAAACACAUAUCUUUCUCAUUUCAUAUACAUGAUACGGCAUGAACUCACCAAUUCACUUUCAUUUGAUUCUCACAUAGGUUAUGUACGUACGUGUCUUGCUUAACUCGAUCAUACUUAUAUUCUCAACUUUCAUUUACUUGUUGAUUUCUAUCACGAAUACUUUACUUUCGUUGUACCAUCACUUAUAACCAUGUUUCAUCCACUUUUCCCGUUGAACCAUUUGGAAUACUAAAGGAUACUUGGGGAUCUCGUACACAUAGUACCGUAACAAUGCCAUAUCCCAGAUAUGGUCUUACAUGUAAUCUCGUAUCGAUGCCAAUAGCCCAGCCAUGGUCUUACACAAAAUCACAUAUCGAUGCCAAUGUCCUAGACAUGGUCUUACACGAAGUCUCAUAUCAAUGGCAUAUCCCAGAUAUGGUCUUACACAUAAUCUCGGUAACCCUAAUGUCAUGACAUUUGUAUCCUAUCUAUUCCUAAGGUUCAACCGGGACUUUUACUUUGUCGAAUCUUCGUCAAACAUUUCCAAAGCAUUGUAAUCACACUUAAAUUCAAUAUUUAAGCAUUCACCAAAAUUAUCUCAAUUAAGCAUUUAAACAUGUAUAAUUUAAUGCUUAUUAAACAUACGAACUUACCUCAUUCGCUGAACUGACAAAUUUAGGUCGACUAAUCCGAUACUUUGAUUUUCCUUCGAUCUAGAUAAUAUCAAAAUUAACUUAUUUAAUUAUCUCUCUAUUAAAUUUAAUCCAAAAUUUUCUUUAAAUUACAUUUACACUUUUCCCCCAUAAUUUCAUAUUUUUGCAAUUUAGUCCUUAUCACAUAAAAUCACAAUUUCAUGAAAUUAAACGCAAACCCAAGCUAGCCGAAUUUUCCAUAUAUUACUAUCAUCCCAUAUUUUCAAUUUAUUUCACAUUUUAACCACUAAAUUUCCACAUUUCACAAUUUAGUCCAAAAUUGACAUUUUUCUCAAAAAAAUCACUUUAUAAAAUAUGAAAAUCUAACAUCAAAUAUUCAUAAUCUAUCAUAAAUCAUCAAUUUAAUCAAGAAUUAAACAAUAGAAACAUGUUAAAUCUUUAAUAGUUUCGAAUUCCGAGGCACGGGCUAGCUAGAUUAUGAAGCAACGAUCACAAAAACAUAGGAAUAAUUAAAAAUGGGACAAAAAUACAUACCACACAAGCUAGGAAAUAGUUGCCGAAUGUAAAAGCUCUCAAAUGGCUUUUCUUGCCCUAAAAUUCGGUUGAAGAUGGAGAAGAAAAGAGGAUACCUUUACUUUAUUUAACUUAAUUUAUCAUUAUUAAUUAAUUUACUUUUAUAACCUUUAAAACAUUUAAAAAUUACACAAAUGCCAAGCCAUCACAUUCCACUAUCAACAUUAAUGGUCUAAUUACCAUAUAAGGACUUCCACUUUAAAGCCCUAUAGCUAUUUAAUACCUUUAGCUAUUAGAACACAACUUUUACGCUUUACGCGAUUUAGUCCUUUUUACCGAAUUAAACACUUAAACGAUAAAAUUUCUUUACAAAAAUUUCACACAACUCUAAUAUCAUGCUGUAAAUAUUAAAAUAAUAAUAAAAUAAAUUUUACAAUCUUGGAUUUGUGGUUCCAAAACUACUGUUCCGAUUUAGCUAAAAUUGGGCUGUUACAAAACCCCUAGGUGUAAACUCAUCUAUGUGAACCCUAGGUACGAACCCAUUCGUAUGAACCCCUAGGUGUGUGAACCCUAGGUGUGUAAACCCUAAUGUGCAAACCCCUAGGUGCGAUCCCUAAUGAGCGAACCCCUAGGUGUGACCUUUAAAGUGCAAACCUACAUGUGCAAACCUCUUAGGUGCGAAUCCCUAGGUGUGUGAACCCAUACGCGCAACCUUAUAUGUGUGACCCUUGUAUGUGCAAACCCGAAUUAUGUAUGUGUUAACCAAACCAAGCGUGUUAGAUCACAUGAAACCACUGUAUAUGUGAAACUGUUUUAGUUCUAAAAUUAAUUAUAUAUAUGAAACUGAUGAGAAUGGACGCAUGUUCACAUGUCAUUAAGUGUGGGUAUGAAAUAUUGAAUGUAAGCAUCGAAAGAUGACAAAUAGCAUCAUGUGCUAAGAAUAUGUGCAUAAUUAUAUAAAAAAAAUAUGUAUAGAGGACAAAGGAGUUCCGUAGGAGAUAGUGGCAAUUUAAGUCUACACUAACAGUUAGUACUACACUAAGAAGACGACAAUGUCAUCAAAAUGACAAGUGAACGACCAUCUUCAUCGAGAAAUCUAGUAUGGUUAGUAUUUUAUAUGUGUUUUGGUGUGUCGAGCGAUGCUCGAGGGUAGUUAGGAUGGACGGGUGGGAAAUUUGCAUUUGCAUUUACAUUACAUCAUACACAAACAAUAUAUACAUUGAUUUACUAUAUGUUCCAUAUGUUAUGCUUAACUCAUUAUUGUUUCUAAGUUUUUCUGUUUGUGGAGUUACAUAUAUUGAUUUAUAAGUUAGUCUCACACCGAGCCAUUGUAAGCUCAUUCCCCUUUUUCCUUUACCUCUUAGGUAACGUAGAAAAUUAGGACUCGGUAUGGCACUGGAGAACUCUCUGAUUAGCAGCUUGUUUUAUUAUUUAAAAAUAUUUCAUUUAUCAUUUAUUUUCGGGGUUGUAAUUAUUAAUUUCUUGCUUUUAUAUCUUAAAGUUUGAGAUUGAUUAGUUAUCUAUUUUAAAGCAUGAAACUUAGUUAAUACUUUGAUAUUUGCAUGUUUUUCAGUUUAGAAAAUCUUUACUUUAAAUGUUUUCCGCUGCUUUACAAAAUACUUAAAGUUUUGAUAAAGUCUUUUCUUAAAUACCUAAAAAUUGUUGUCCUAAAACUUCAAAUUAAUAACAUUGUAAUCAAUUUAUUAAGUAAAGUCGGUUUAAAUUAGUGAACGUCUUUCUUAAAAACAAAAGAGUGUUUUCAUACAAAUCAACGCUUCAAAAAGAAAGACUUUAAAGGACCACCUCAGUGAUCGAAUGUAAUGCCUUCGACUUAGUUGAAACUCCUAGGUCGGGUUGGAGGUGUUACAAUAUCCAUUAAAAGAAUUACAGUCAAGAAUAAACCACUAUUCCACAUAAACUUUAAAAAAAAAUAAAAAUUAUUUUAUUUGUAUUUUUUCUUUUACAUUAUUUCUCUCUUUAUUUUUUUCCAUAUUACCUCUAUUUUUCUUUCUUAUUCCUUUAUAAUGUAUGAAAAUUCCAACAAUGCUAAAAAAUUAUCCUUUCAAAAUCGAGACUGUAACAGUCCGUUUUCAGUGAAAUCGAAAUAGUAGUUUUGAGACCAUAAAUUUGAGUCAGAAAGAAAAUUUAUUUUAAUAUUAUUGCAUGGUCUACAUUAUGAUAGGAAUAACGUAUGAAAAUAUCGUUAAGAAAAUUUUACCGAUUUCACGUUUAAUUGUUAGAAAGGACCAAAUUGCAUAAUGUGUAAAAGUUGAAUUCUAGUAGCUAGAGGGAUCAAAUAGCUAUGGAAUUCAAAAAUUGAGGUCCUUAUAAGACAAAUAGACCAUUAAGAGUAGUUAGUAGAUAAUUAUGAUGAUUCAUCCAUGAAAAAUUGAUUAAAGAAAGGGACUAAAUUGGAAAGUGGAAAUAAUAAAAGAUGAUAAAUAAUUAAAUAACAAAAUAUCAUCUUUUUCAUCAUCUUUUCCAAAAUUAUUUUCAUGGAAACCCUAUUUAAGAGAAAAGAAAUCAAGCAAGCUUAAUUAGGUAAGUAAUCUUGUCCCGUUUUUAGUAAUUUUUAUAUUUCUGAAAUCGUAACAACCUAAUUUAGCUAUUUUAGGGAUUAAUUUGCAAACUUAUCAAAGUAUUAAAGUUUUUUCAUGGAUGACUAUGCAUGAAUUAUGAAUUUUUAUGGUAGAAAGGUUGUUGAUAGAUAAACAACUUUUGUAAAGGAAAUUUUCAUGAAAUUGUUAUUUAGGGACUAAAUUGAAAAGAUGAAAAAUUCAUGGAAAAAUUUUAAUUUUUGUGAAAUACAUGGACUGUUAUUGUUAUAUGAAAAAUUAGGCUAGGCUUGGAAUAAGGAUUAAAUUGCAUGAAGUUCAUUUUCCGAGCCUAGGGACGAAAUUAAAAUUAAUUAAAAGUAUAAGGGCAAAAUGAUACUUUUGCCUAAUAUGUGAAUUGGAUUGAAUUGAAUAUAAAAUGUAUUAAAAUGAUGUUUAAUUCAUUUAUAUAGAUCCAAAAAGGCCAAAUAAGGAGUUAGAUCGAGGAAAAGAAAAAAUGUCAGAUUAGUAGAUUUUCAUACACAAGCAAGUGUCGAGGUAAGUUCGUAUAAUUAAAUUGUGUACAUUUACAUGUUUGAACUAAAUGUUGUAUAUUUGAUUUCUAUGUAUAUGAAAUUAAUUACAUAUCCGAUAAGUCCUGAUAAAUAUUAAAUCUUAUUUGAAUACAUGAAAUUUGAUUAGAUAUAGGGUUCCCGUAUUGGUUGUGGUCUUACAUAUGUUACAGAUACACCAUAGCUCGAAAGAGCGUUCCGUUAUUAGCUCUCAUGAGCUUCUCAUUAUAUAGUUCUUGUGAGCUUCUCGUUAUAGCUCUUCGGAGUAUCCCGAUAGGUUGUGAUCCUACAUGUAUUGUGGACACACCUUAGCUCUUAUGAGCGUUUCGAUUAAAGGCUCUUUGUGAGCUUCCCGUUAAUUGGCUCUUUCGAGUUUUUCGAUAUGGCUCGUUUGAACUUUCUGAAAUAUGGCUAUCCGGAGCUUCUUGAUUAAUAGCUUUUCAGAUCUACCCGUUAUUGGCUCGCAUGAGCUUCUUAAUUAUGGCUCUUAUGAGCUUUCCGUUAUAGCCCGAAUAAGCUUCCCAUUUAUGCGCUUUUAUGAGCACCCCUGAAAAUGAGUUGACGGAUUUACAAUAUUGUACACUUUGUAUGCUUAUUUUAAAAGUAAAUGAAUGGUAAGCUAAUUUCCCGUUAUACGAACUUACUAAGCUUAAAAACUUACUUUAUUUUAUUUCUUUUGUUUUAUAGUACUCGGAAGCUUGUAAAGGUUGAGAGCGGGUUGGAGCAAGAUCACUCUAUCUUUCAGCUCUUUUUGGUAUAAAUAGCAAACUUUAAUUAGGAUAUAAUGGCAUGUAUAGGUUAAAUUGGCCAAAUGAUGACAUAUAAAUAUUUUGUUGAAAAUAACCAUUAGUAUGGCUAGUGUUGGCAUAUUUUGAGAUGUAAAUAUAUGACUUAAAUAUGUUUGAUGUGUGUAUUUGAAAUUUUUAUAUGGUGGAAAGUAUUUAAACCUGUUGAUGAAUAGUUUUGAGUUAGCAUAAUUGAUAAAAUAUGUCUAUAUGCACAAAUGUGUUUUUGGUAAGUUUGAACAUUUGAACAUAUGUGAUAAUAUGUCAUGCAUAAGACUUAGUUUUGGCUUGAUUUUAAUAUCUUGAAUUGGUUGGUGAGUGUGUUUAAAUGUUAAUAUAGGUGGAAGACAAGAUUGGGUAAGAAAUAAGGCUUGAAAAUGGCCUUAUUUUGUCCAUACAAGCAGAGACACGAGCGUGUGUCUCAGCCGUGUAUGACACACGGCCACGCACACAAGCGAGUGGUUCAACCGUGUGUCCCUGCAUCCUUAAAAUUUAGAAACGGAAUGCUCAAAAUUGUUCACACAGUGAAUUUUGAGCAUUCUGUUUCUAAAUUUUAAGGAUGCAGGGGACACACACUUAUGCGCAUGGCCGUGUGUCACACACGGCUGAGAGACACGCCCGUGUCUCUGUCCGUGUGGACAAAAUAAGGCUACUUUUAAGCCUUAUUUCUCACCCAAUCUUGUCUUCCACUGGGUGCAAUGGACACAAGAACAGUGCAUGGUAACAGAUCAAUACCGAACUCAACCACCCUAUCCGGAGAUACUCUUGGAAACUCAUCGAGAAAGUCCUUUACAAUAUGAAUAUCCUUUACAGAAAGCUUUGCAGGUACAAAAUCAGACACAAAAGCAAUGUAUGCCUCGCUACCUUUUCAAAUUAACUUUUUAGCUACAAGGGCUGAGAUUACAUUGGAGAAGUAAUCUCAAUGCUCACCAAUGAUAACAACCUCACUAUUCUCAUCAGUUCUCAGAGUAACUCUCUUAGAGGCACAGUUUAGACUGGCUCGAUGUUCUACAAGUCGAUCCUUUCCUAGAAUCAAAUCAAACUCACCAAAAGAAAACUCCAUUAAGUCAGUCGAAAAUACCAUACCCUGAGUCUCUAACAAAACCCGUCUAUAUACCUUAUCAACUCGAAUCGACUGACUUAGAGGACUAAUCACAGAAAAAUUCCUAGUAAUAUUCUCAACAAAUAUACUCAAAUUUACAAAAACAGUACUAGUUAUGUAUGAGUGAGUAUAUCUAAUAUCAAUCAGAGUAAAAUACGAAACAAAAUGAAUAAAAAAACAUGCCCACUACAACGUCGACUUGUCUCAAUCCUCACGACAUCUCACCGCAUAGACCAGUGCAGGUUGUCGUGCCUCAGUCUGACCCGUACCUCUACCUGGUGUUCUUUGACCCCUACCAAAACUAUUACUACCCCUAACCAUUCCACGGCCCUUAGGCGGUUGUUGAGCUACUCUAAGAGGCUGAACAAGACCCGAAACUAGAUUCUGUGCUGUAAUUGACACCUAAUCUGAUCGAUGAAGGCAAUCUCGAACACGAUGCUCCAUCGACCCAUAGCGGAGACAAGCUCAUGAUUUUAUCUAACACUCGCCUAGAUGACGCCUCCCACAGUCGCUAUAAAGUUGAGUCUCAUUCACCGCAGCUGGUGUUUCGGUCCUCGGAGGCCCGUCAAACCUCUCCCCUCUCUUAAGGUAUUGUCUAGAACUAGAGGGAGAUCAUAACGUAAGCCUUCUUCAAACCUCACACACUUAUCGUAAUCAGAUACUACCAAAGCCUGAGCAUAUCUGGUCAAUCUCAGAAACUCAGCUUUAUACUCAGCCACAGAUCUCUCACCCUGCACCAGACUUAUAAAUUCACGUUAGCGAGCCUCCAUGUAACUCACCCCCACAUACUUACUCUGAAAGACUUUUUUAAAGUAGCCUCAAUUAACCUGCUCAGGCUAAACACCCUUUUCAAUUGUCAGCCACCACUGAUAGGCUUCGUCUCGGAGUAGAGAUAUAGCACCCCUCAAUAUGUACAACGGUCUCUAAGUGGGAGUGCAAUCAAUAUCAGUCAUAAUACGCACAACAGCCUCUAACCAAUACUCAACAAUAGUAGGGGUGAAUCCAAUGACACCCUUGAAUAAUUCAGCACCGUUCGACCAGAGUCAUUCAGUGACCAACCCUCAGCCUCUAAAUUCAGAAUGGGUCUCAGUAACCCUCUCUAAUGCACGAAUCAUAACUUGGGACAGUGCGUCGUCCCCAGCUAUAGGAGUAUGAGACCCAAUCUUAAUUAUAGGAGUACCAACAGUCUCGCUAGUCUCUAGAUUGGGCAUACUACUUACAGAUAAUGACUUUGCUCGAGCUCCUCCUCAACGCUCGCGGCAUCUACGAGAACCACGUCCAGGACUAUUGCGUGAACUCAUAAUAUUAGUUUAUCUACAAUAUCAAAAGUGCACAUAUCAAUUCAGAGUUUUUAUCACAAUUCCCAUACCAGUUCAUAUCAAAAUAUUUAACCAAACAAUAGUUUAAUUAUAACAAUAUUGUAACUAAUCAUACGAAUUGAACAAAAAACUUACAGGGUCGGUAUCGGAGACUUGAUCCUUUACAAAAUCAGUUUUCAGAAUUACUCAGAUAGUUUAUUUUCAUUUAAACACCAUAUCACACAAAUUGAGAGCUUAGUACACAGCCCGAAUGUUGAUUAACUUAGUUCUGAUACCACUAAAUGUAACACCAUAUACCCGACCUAGACGAUAAGGCCAAGUUUGGAAGCUACUUCGAAUAUUUCUCAAGCGCAUUAUUCCAAAAUUUAGUUUGAAGCAACACCAAAAGAGUUUAAUAACUAUAAAACAUAAUACAACAAUUUUGAUCUUAAAACAUCAUAUGUCUUAAAAUUUCUAGAAAUAAGCCAAUGAUACUACUAAUAAUAAAAUGGGUAAAUAGUAUGAUCGAGUUCUCGAUCUGUCGACCCAAUCAAGUCAGUGGGUUAUCUGUAAUUCGGUCAACAGAAAAAAUGAAUUAAUAAUCCUAAAAAGAAAUAAUUAUAUAUUUAACAAUUUUAAGAUAACAAUGGUAAAGUCUUAAAUUCAAAUUCAAAAUAAAAUCCAGAAGGUAAAUCAUUCAGUUUAACAAAUCAUUCAGUAUUAUAUAGUAUGUCAAAUUAUUUUCAGAUAUAGAAUAGAUCAGAAUAGAUGCAGUUCCCCUAUCCCCCACCCACUACACACCAUCUCCAAUCAACCCAACACACCAAAUAGAGUAUUGAAUACCCAUCUAACCCUACAUACCAAAUAGUUUCGGUAUGGCACGUUUCGAUAAUUGUAGACUAGCUACCAAAUCAAAAUACAAAUACCAGUGGUUUAGCCACUGUCUCAAAACAAAAUACUUCCUCAUUUACUCAAUUCCCGCCCAAUGCAAAUGCAGAUUUCAAAUGUUAGUUAAUACAUAGGCCUAUACGACCAUUCAGAUAUAGUUAAUACUCGUAUAGAAUAAAUCAAUAUCAUUAGUACUCAAUCUCAGAUCACAGAAUAAUAAUUUAUACAGUUUAAUUCAGUUUAUACGAACCUCAUAAAAGGCUUGCAUUCAUGUCAAACGACGUUUGUGGCCUAAGGGAAAAAUUCUAAAUAUUGGUCCACACGCCCGUAUGAUUUCACACGGCCUAAAUAACUAGCCUGUGUGGUUCCAAACGGCUUAGCACUUACCUGUAUGUUCACCCGUGUGCCUCACACGACCUGGACACACGCCUGUCUGAACCCUGUACAUAACAUUUCCACACACGGUCUGGACACACGCCCGUGUCCUCAGCCUAUGUGUCUCUAAUUUGUGCAUAGUGAGUUAUACGGCCUGUCACACGGUCUGGCACAUAGCCGUGUGGUUCACAUUGCCUAGCACACGACUGUGUGGCAUCGACAACCAUGUUUUCUGGCAUCCAAAAUUCAUAAAAAGUCAGGGUUUUGGUACACACCUGAAGUAGCUUCGAAGUAAGAACCACGUAGAAGACUCUCAAGACCUAAAACGGCCAUUCAAUAACUAAUUAAGUGAUAGUAUGCAAAAAAGCUAAGAUUAACUUACAACCAAGUUCGUCGAAAUGCUUCGGCACAAAAUCCUAAUUCAAACCACAAUUGCCUUCGCACCAAAUCAAAAUUCACGAAUCUAGAGUGUUAGGGGGACCAUUAUCCUUGAGACCUUCUCCUAAAGGCAAUAAUCAAACAUGUAAACAAAGGAUUAGAAUAGUUUAAGCAAGAAACCAAUUUGGCAAAAGUGACAACAACCAACGAUUCUAGAAAUUGAACAAUCAAACUCACGAACUAUUGGAAACAAAUUUACUUGACAAUACUAGUAGAUAAGAAGUACGAAUCUAAGCAACAAUAAAGUGGAAAAGAGGAUGGAAGCAAAAAGGAAAAGAAUGAAAAAAAAGAAAAUGAAAAGGGAAAGGAAAAAGAAGAAUGUUUAAUUCUAAUUUAACUACUGAUCAAAAUUCUAACAUUUAGUAAAAAUAAAAUAUAUUCCUUAACGUAUGCACUGAGACUUGAACAUAAUAUUAGGUAGAAUACAAAAUCUUAACUAUUGAACUAACCGGCUCAUUCUUUACACAAAUUACACAGAAUUAAACUUAAGUCAACAAUUCAAGGAUAGAGGUUAAUUUAGAACCAUAUAGCAAAACUUUCUAAAGACAUGACUCAAACCCCCGACGUCAAAUAUAUAAACAGAACACAUAGUCACAGAUAUAGAGACUUAAUUAUUAUCGAAUUCCACAAUUAAACAUUCAGAUUUUUAGGGCGUUACAACCAAGAUAGGGAAAAUGGUAUGUUUAGGUACCAAUUUGUAGGUUAAGCCUAUAAAAAUAAAAUAUUAAAAAUUUUAACAUUAAAUAAAUUAAUUUAACAAUAUAUAAAACAAAUAACCUAUAAAAAAUUAAUAUUAUUAUUAUUUAAAUUAUAAUAAAUUAAUAUUAAUAUUCAAAUCAUGAUGAUUUUUUGUAUUAUUUUAAUAUUGAAUAUUUUAAAGAUUAAAUAAAAUUAAUAUAAAUCAUUCUAAAUUUGUUUUGAAUUACGAUACUUUUCAAUUUUUGAGAAAAUUCAUUAGUGAUUUCAAAUAAAAACUAAUGUUAUAAAAAAUAUUAUGAAGUUAAUAUACACAAUUGACCCGUGGAUGCACAAAAAUAAAAACUAGUUUUAUUUAAAUUGAACUAAAAAAAAGAAAUUAAAUAAUUAAAUUCAAUGACUUAGUUAUUUUUAUAUUAUAAAAAAAUCUAUACUAUUAAUAAAACCCCUAACUGAGUUGGUGUCACCCUCAACCGGGUCACCAACUCGAUUAGGAAGUUAAGAGAAUACUCUUCCAUAAUUAAAAGAUUUAUAUUUUUCGAGGGUAUUUCAAUUUAAACAAAGUUAAUGGACGAUUAGUACAAGUUAUCCCAAAAACUGAUUCAUUAUAAAGUAAUACAUAAUAGGGUAAAGUACACCAAUAGUCACUAAACUUUGGUUAAAAUAACAAAACAAUCACUAAACUUUUAAAAGUUACAACUUAGUCACUAACCUUUAGAAAAAAUAACAAACCAAUCACCAGAAACCAUUUUUUGUUACGUAUGUAACAGAAAGUUGACUUGUCAUUUAACUGGGCAUGUUGGCAUCCUAGCUGUCAUGUUAAACGACCCCAAUUAAAAAACCCUAGCCAGGCAGUAGAAGAAGAAAAAGAAGAAGAAAAAAUAGAGAUACCUUAGCUAUGGUCAUUUUGUUCCUCCAAGGUGGAGCCACCACCCAGUUCCCUGUUGUCCCUUUGAAUCUUUGUGCCCCAAGUGACUCCGUUGAAUCUUUGCCCCUUUUUUUCUUCUCUUCUUCUCCUUUCAUUUCUUUUUUUUUCCCUUAACUUUAGUCAUCGUCAUUCAUGCCUUCUUCGGCCAAUUGUUAUCACCAAAUGGCUCCUCUUUACCUCUUCUCAAAUCUCAUUUUAGAUUCUCGAAUAGGCCUUCAAAAUCUCGAGAUUAAGACCUUAAAGCUUCGAACAAGGUUUUCAUGGAUCUCCGCCAUCCACUGUCGGAUCACCAUCAUAUUCCGAUCACAGUUCUUCGACAAACCAUGACUCUUGAUUGCUUGGAUCAUCAAACUGGUGGCUUGAAUUCUCCAACUUGUAAAACCCAAAAUAGGUGUGGGUUUAUUCUCUUUUGAUUCUCUUUCUUUUUUAGCUUUUUUUCUUCUCUUUUUUGAUGUAAGCUAAUUUGGGAUUCUUUUUCUUUUUUGUUGGUUUGAUUUUGGAUGGUUUCUAUUUGGUAUUUUUGUUUUUGGUUGGGAUUUCAUGGGUCUAGAAUGUUUAGGGGUUGGGAUUUGGUGGUUAUGGCGGUGGUGUCUCGGCAAAUGAGUGACAACAAGUGAUGCUGGUGUGGUGUUUAAAUGAUAGUAGGCUUGUGGAGGUGGCCAAUGUCAAGGGCGGUGGUGAAGAAGCCAAGAGGAAUUAAGAAAAAUGGUGAAAGAACCCCCCAUUUUCUCUUUCUAUUUUUGUUGUUUAAUGGAAAGUGGCGUGUGAUAGGGAUGACAUGAAAAUGUCCAACGUGACAAGUUAAUUGGCCACGUUAGCUAGUUAACUGCCACAUCACCUGUUCCGUUAGCCUGUAAAAGAAAAUGUUAGCGGGUGACUGUUUUGUUAUUUUCUUAAAGUUUAGUGACUGUUUUGUUAUUUUCUCAAAGUUGAGUGACUGUUGGUGUAGUUUACCCUUCAUAAUAUUAUUCUUUUAAAAAAAAAAGAAAUAACUUUUCCUUAUACAUGAAAUAACUUCUUUUUAAAGUGACCUCCGUUGAAAAGAUAUUAAUUUUUUAUACAAUAUUAAGGGUGAAGAGAUGAAUGUUUGACAAGAGUUUUGACCACCAUUCUAUAAAAAUCAAGAUAACAAUAUUAAAGUUUAAAUCAACAUAAUAUACUAAAUAUAUUUUUUAGAUAAUAAAAUAAAUUCAUAUCUUAAUUUUUAGUUAAUUAUAUAAAUUUUAUUUUAAAAAAUUUUAGGAAAGAAAUUGAUUAAAGAUUAAAAGUACUAUAUAACCUAAAGUUUAGAUAUAUUUAAUAUAAUUAAUUUGAUUUUCCACGGGAGGACUAAAAUUGGCGUCCGUAUGCAAAUAAGUUGAUUUUGCAUCAAAAUUAGGCAUUCCUACAAACGUCCCUCUGUUUUCUUUUACUGUUGAGUUGAGUUGAUUUUAACGGGUUUUGAUUUUAUCUCGAUUUUAUAAAUUUUUCUGAAAUUUUUUUAGUUAAAAUAUUUGGAGUCGGAAUUAAAUUAAGGUAAAAUUCGGAUCGAUGUAUUAAAUUUCUUUUUGAAAGGUAAUGGAACUUCUACAAUGCAACAAAACCAAUUUUACAGACACGAAACAAAUAAAUGUAAAAAAAAGACAGGGACAAGCAACACGACUUCUAUGCUACAGUAACCACCUGCCCUUUCAAACAGAAAAUACAAUAGAAAUAAAUUCGCCACAUAGCAAUAAUACAGCUAGAACAAAGGCAUGAAACCUCAAUAAAAAAGAAACUUUAAUGGGAAACUUGACCCAGCUCACUAUAAUAGAAAAUUUGCAAUAGAUCCCUGCUUUUCUUCACCCAUCUAGAGCACGGCUCGAUGUAUUAAAUUUAAUUAAAUCACACGGCUCGAUGCAUAUUCUGUUAGUUUAAGAAAGUCUAAUGAUUGGAUUUAAUCUAAUUUAAUUUCUUUUUAUAGUCAUGAGCAAAGGAGGGCUAAACAUGGUUUACUUAGCUUUUCUCUUGUUUUUCAACUUGAUUUCAUGUUUUCCCUCUUCUUCACAUGCACAAAAUGCUAACCUUAACCUGCCAUUGAGGGCUGUAAACCUAGGCAACUGGCUUGUCACUGAAGGAUGGAUGCAACCUUCUCGUUUUGAUGGAAUAGUUAACAAAGAUCUUUUGGUAUAUUUUACUACACAUAUCUUUCCCUCUUCUUUACUCUAUAGUUUCCGUCAUUCAAUUCACUGAAUUUCCAUGUUUUUUAUUAUGUUUGAAUUGGUAUAGGAUGGAACCCAAGUUCAAUUCCUCUCAACAAGGCUGAACAAGUAUCUGUGCGCUGAAAGUGGUGGUGGAACCAUCAUCGUAGCCAACCGUGCCUCGGCUUCCGGUUGGGAAACCUUCAGGGUUUGUUCUUCCAUCACCUUUAUUGUUUAAUAAGUUUGCAACACUUUUGUUAAAAUCCAUCCUUCUAAUAUUUAUUAACUAUUCAUCCCGUUUGCAUAUGAGAAGCGUAUUGGAACUUAAAUAUAAUAAUCCUAACGCAGUUAUGGCGGGUGAAUGCAUCAUACUUUAACUUUAGAGUGUUCUUCAAGCAAUUUGUGGGAUUAGGAAAUCAAGGUGUUGUACAAGCUGUUUUGAAUGGACCUACCAAUUCAGCUACCUUUGAGAUUGUAAGGAGAAAUGGUGAUCCCAAUAAAGUUCGCCUCAGAGCAUCUAACGGUUUGUUCCUACAGGUACUUUUAUUUGUUGCACUGACCUUGAUUUUGCACUAACUUUCGAUCCAAGUCAUUGACUAUUUUGGUUUUGAGAUUAGGCACAAUCGGAGACUAGAGUAACUGCAGAUUAUAGAGGCUCUAGUUGGGACGAUUGGGAUCCAUCUGUGUUCAGAAUGACAAUUGUAAACACCUUACAAGGUGAAUAUCAAAUCACAAAUGGUUAUGGACCUGAUAGAGCCCCUCAAGUCAUGCAGGUAAUCAAGCCUCUUUUUGUACUCCUUAAACAAGUUAAAGCAAAGGGUAUUUAACCAUGGUUUUUCCAGGAUCAUUGGAAUUGUUACAUAACCGAACAAGAUUUCAAUUUCAUGUCUUCAAAUGGACUUGAUGCCGUGAGGGUACCUGUAGGGUGGUGGAUAGCACAGGAUCCAAAUCCCCCUAGGCCUUUUGUUGGAGGCUCUUCAAGAGCCCUCGACAAUGCUUUCACAUGGGCAGAGUAAGUAAAAGAAAUCUUCUAGGAUCGAAACAAAAAGAAGACUCUUAUUUACGUGCGAAUUUGGUACAGGAAAUAUGGGAUGAAGGUCAUUAUUGAUUUACAUGCAGUUAAAGACUCCCGAAACGGUAAUGAUCACAGUGGGACGAGAGAUGGUUUUCAGGAAUGGGGAGAUUCCAAUAUUGCUGAGACUGUGGCAGUCAUAGAGUAACUUGCAGCAAGGUUAAUUAAGAUCAGACAAUGUCGAACCAUGUUCUAUUAUAUGCUUUUCCUUAUUUCACUUCAUUUUGAAGGUUUAAUUGGACAGAUACGGUGGAAGACUAGGCUUGGCUGCAAUUGAAUUGAUGAACGAGCCACUAGCACCUGGUGCAACUUUCGAUGCACUUGCGAAGUAUUAUAGAGCUGGAUACGAUGCCGUAAGGAAGCACACAGAUGCAUAUGUGAUCCUAUCAGCACGUUUAGGACCAGCUGAUCCACAGGAGUUCUUCUCGUUGGCUAGUAGCAUGAAUCGAGUAGUCAUCGAUGUGCAUAACUACAACCUGUUUUCAGAUAUGUUCAGCAGCAUGUCCGUGCAACAGAACAUCGAUUAUAUCUAUAAUCAACGAGCUUCUGAUCUCGGACGCUUGAUCUCGGCUAAUGGUCCCAGGGUUUUUGUCGGUAAAUUUGAGUCUGAAAAAACAGUUUAGUUUUAGGUAUGCAAAUGUAAUAGGAAUAUGCAUUUGAAUGGUUUAUGUUUUCGCAGGAGAAUGGACAGGAGAAUUUGGUCGAAACGAUGCAUCAAUGGAAGAUUAUAAGAGAUUUGCGAGAGCUCAGCUAGAUUUAUAUGGUCCUGCAACAUUUGGAUGGGCAUAUUGGACUUAUAAAUGUGUGUACAACCAUUGGAGCCUCAAGUGGAUGAUUGAGAAUAACUAUAUAAACCUUAAUUGACCACUAUGAUGCUGUUAUCUUUUCUAAUAAAGGGUACAAUAAGAUGUAACCUUUAGCAUUUGAAAAUGCUAAUUUAUAUUUUAUGCAUAUUUUAACUAAGUUUCUUUAUUUUUGCUUUCUAAUUGAUAGAAAAUGAUUCAUGCAAUCAUAAUUAACAUAUUAAAUUAAAAUUCUACACUUGAAUUUAAUUAAAUAAAUAAUUUUAACUGAAUGAGAAUAAUUUUGUUAUAUAACAAUGACAAUCAUUACAACAAAAAGAACGAUAAAAAAUUUCAAACUCUCAAACAAUUUUUGUUUGUAAAUGGUGAUGAUUGUAACGAUAUUAUUAUUUUUCGCUCACUCAACUAAAUUUUUUUUAAAGAUAAAAUAAAUAAAACAAUGUUUGCAAUUACAAUAAUACAUCGCAAUAACAAUCAAUCUUAAACUAUAAACAUAAUGUUUUUACAUCAAUUAUUUUUUGUUUGGUUCAGUUCUAAAUUUAUUCAUAUUAAUUUUUUAUUUUAAAUUUUUCCACUUGUUUUGACAAAAUAAACAUAAACUUUUCUUUAAUUUUGUUUUUGAAAAAUAUUUUGUAUAUGUAAUUUUUAAGUUAUUUUUACUAUUUUAAAUAUAAAAUAUUUAUUUUUACAUUACAAAAAUUAAAACUAAUUUUAAAUUAAAUUAAAUUAAGUUCGGAUAACCACAAUUUUAACUUAUAUUUCAUAAAUGGUUUAAACUUCUUAUUUUAAAUUCAUUUUUUUUUUUAGUUUUUCUUGACCAGCCCUAACCCCGUGAGGCAACUUAUCACAUUGCCAUUGCAUAAUUGCUUGAGCAUCUCCAGAAAUCAAGAGUAAAACCUCAGAGCCCCCCAUGUGCAAUGCUAUAAGUUAUUUAGACCCAUGUGUGAUGCUAUAAGUUAUUUAGACUCAUGUGCAAUGCUAUAAGUUAUUUAGAAAGUGCUUUUAUAUAUGGUAAAAUGACGAAGGAAGAGAAAAAGCAGAUGGCUUACUUAUAAUUUGACAUUAUGUAUUUGCUUAUAAUCUGGAAGUGUGCCCCAAAAUGUCAUAAACUUUCAAAGCAAAGGAAGGCUGAACAUGGUUUACUUAGCUUUUCUCUUGUUUUUCAACCUUAUUUCAUGUUUUCCCUCUUCCCAUGCACAAAAUACAGACCUUAAGCUGCCAUUGAGGGCUGUAAACCUAGGCAACUGGCUUGUCACUGAAGGAUGGAUGAAACCUUCUCGUUUUGAUGGAAUCAUUAACAAAGAUCUUUUGGUAUAGUUUACUAUAUGCAUACCUUUUCCUUUUCUUUACUCUAUAGUCAAUUCAGCGAAUUCCCAUGUUUUUAUUAUGUUUAAUUGGUAUAGGAUGGAGCUCAUGUUCAGUUUCUCUCAACAAAGCUAAACAAGUAUUUGUGCGCUGAAAAUGGAGGUGGAACCGUCCUAGUAGCCAACCGUAUCUCACCUUCUGACUGGGAAACCUUCCGUGUCUGUUCUCUCAUCAGCUUUAUGUUGUAUAUAACUUACAUUUAUAUAGUUAUUAAAUAACUACAAUUCUUAGAUUCAUUCUAAUUUAGAACAAUUCAAAAAAUGCACCUUUUGUUUGAUGCAGUUGUGGAGGGUGAAUGAGUCGUACUUCCACUUGAGAGUGUUGAACAAGCAGUUCGUGGGAUUAGGAAAUCAAGGUGUAAAAGCUGUUUCAAAUACACCUACCCAUUCAGAAACAUUUCAGAUUGUAAGGAAAGAUGAUGCUCCCAAUCGAGUUCGCCUUAAAGCAUCCAAUGGUUUCUUCCUACAGGUACUCUCUUGCACGGACUCCAAUACGUAAAUAGCUUUGAUUAGUAAACCAUGGAUAUAAGUAUUUGAUAACAUACAUAAUAAAGAAUAAAUGUCAGUUGAAGUCAUUGACUAUUUUGCUUUUUUCAUAUUGUAAUUAGGUACAGUCGGAGACACUAGUAACUGCAGAUUAUACAGGGUCUAGUUGGGACGAUAGCGAUCCAUCUGUGUUUAACAUUGCAAUCGUAAACACCUUACAGGGUGAAUAUCAAAUCACAAAUGGUUAUGGCCCUGUUAAAGCCCCUCAAGUCAUGCAGGUAUGGCUCUUUUAACUCCUUAAGCAACAAGUUAUAGCCAUGGUAUUCGAAAUGAUUCUUUAUGAAAACCAUGGUUUGCUAGGCUCAUUGGGAUUCUUACAUCACUGAGCAAGAUUUCAAAUUCAUCUCUGCAAAUGGACUGAGUGCCGUGAGGAUACCUGUAGGGUGGUGGAUAGCACAGGAUCCAAAUCCCCCUAAGCCUUUUGUAGGAGGCUCUUUAAAAGCCCUCGACAAUGCUUUCACAUGGGCCGAGUAAGUAAAUGAAACCUUCUAGGAUUGAGACAAAACAAGACUCUUGUUCUAAACAAUCUAAUGUUUUCGAUGUCUGAAAUUAAUGCAGGAAAUAUGGGAUGAAGGUAAUUGUAGAUUUGCAU
rnacentral:lncRNA from 1 species